rnacentral:rRNA from 1 species
AUUGAACGCUGGCGGAAUGCUUUACACAUGCAAGUCGAGCGGCAGCGCGGGGGCAACCCUGGCGGCGAGCGGCGAACGGGUGAGUAAUGCAUCGGAACGUACCCAGUCGUGGGGGAUAACGUGGCGAAAGUCACGCUAAUACCGCAUACGUCCUGAGGGAGAAAGCAGGGGAUCGCAAGACCUUGCGCGAUUGGAGCGGCCGAUGUCUGAUUAGCUAGUUGGUGGGGUAAAGGCCUACCAAGGCGACGAUCAGUAGCUGGUCUGAGAGGACGAUCAGCCACACUGGGACUGAGACACGGCCCAGACUCCUACGGGAGGCAGCAGUGGGGAAUUUUGGACAAUGGGCGAAAGCCUGAUCCAGCCAUUCCGCGUGAGUGAAGAAGGCCUCGGUU